rnacentral:rRNA from 1 species
UAAUACGUAGGGGGCAAGCGUUGUCCGGAAUCACUGGGCGUAAAGCGUGCGUAGGCGGUUGUGUAAGUCUGAAGUGAAAGUCCAAGGCUCAACCUUGGGAUUGCUUUGGAAACUGCAUGACUUGAGUGCUGGAGAGGCAAGGGGAAUUCCACGUGUAGCGGUGAAAUGCGUAGAUAUGUGGAGGAAUACCAGUGGCGAAGGCGCCUUGCUGGACAGUGACUGACGCUGAGGCACGAAAGCGUGGGGAGCAAACAGGAUUAGAUACCCUGGUAGUCCACGCCGUAAACGAUGAGUGCUAGGUGUUGGGGGGACACACCCCAGUGCCGAAGGAAACCCAAUAAGCACUCCGCCUGGGGAGUACGGUCGCAAGACUGAA